CCUACGGGAGGCAGCAGUGAGGAAUAUUGGUCAAUGGACGAGAGUCUGAACCAGCCAAGUAGCGUGAAGGAUGACUGCCCUAUGGGUUGUAAACUUCUUUUAUAUGGGAAUAAAAUGUUCCACGUGUGGGAUUUUGUAUGUACCAUAUGAAUAAGGAUCGACUAACUCCGUGCCAGCAGCCGCGGUAAUAAGGAGGAUCCGAGCGUUAUCCGGAUUUAUUGGGUUUAAAGGGAGCGUAGGUGGAUUGUUAAGUCAGUUGUGAAAGUUUGCGGCUCAACCGUAAAAUUGCAGUUGAAACUGGCAGUCUUGAGUACAGUAGAGGUGGGCGGAAGUCGUGGUGUAGCGGUGAAAUGCUUAGAUAUCACGAAGAACUCCGAUUGCGAAGGCAGUUCACUGGACUGCAACUGACACUGAGGCUCGAAAGUGUGGGUAUCAAACAGGAUUAGAUACCCUAGUAGUC
rnacentral:rRNA from 1 species